UACGAAGGGUGCAAGCGUUACUCGGAAUUACUGGGCGUAAAGCGUGCGUAGGUGGUUCGUUAAGUCUGAUGUGAAAGCCCUGGGCUCAACCUGGGAAUGGCAUUGGAAACUGGCGACCUAGAGUGCGGUAGAGGGUAGUGGAAUUCACGGUGUAGCAGUGAAAUGCGUAGAGAUCGGGAGGAACAUCCGUGGCGAAGGCGACUACCUGGACCAGCACUGACACUGAGGCACGAAAGCGUGGGGAGCAAACAGG
rnacentral:rRNA from 1 species